AUUGAACGCUGGCGGCAGGCCUAACACAUGCAAGUCGAACGAGUGGCGGACGGGUGAGUAAUGUCUGGGAAACUGCCCGCUGGCGGGGGAUAACUACUGGAAACGGUAGCUAAUACAGCAUACCAUCGGAUGUGCCCAGAUGGGAUUAGCUUGCAUGUGGGGGAACGGCUCACCUGGGCCGCGAUCCCUAGCUGGUCUGGCAGGAUGACAAGCCACACUGGAACUGAGACACGGUCCAGCUUCCCACGGGAGGCAGCAGUGGGAAAUAUCGCACAAUGGGGGAAAGCCUGAUGCAGCCAUGCCGCGUGUAGGAAGAAGGCCUUCGGGUUGUAAAGUACUUUCAGCGAGGAGGCGUUACUCGCAGAAGAAGCACCGGCUAACUCCGUGCCAGCAGCCGCGGUAAUUC
rnacentral:rRNA from 1 species